GGAUAUAGCUCAGUGGUAGAGCACGUGCUUAGCAUGCAUGAGGUCCUGGAUUGAAACCCCAGUACGUCCA
rnacentral:tRNA from 1 species